rnacentral:lncRNA from 1 species
AAACAUGCAUAUUCAUUUCAUUAUUAUUAUCAUUCAAAAACUAACAAGUUUUACAAGUGAAUAACACUUAACAAACAAAAAAGACUACAAAUGAAAAUGAUUGAACAUUCUAAUAAUCCCCUACAUGAAUAGCCUUUGUAUUCAUCCAUAGAUUGGGGUUAUCACGCUUGUAGAAGUUGAUGUGAUAGUCCCCAAGGAGUUUCCUCUUCAAAAUCUUCCAAUGGAUGC